rnacentral:rRNA from 1 species
AUGGCCGGCGGCGACCUGCGCAGCCUGGCGGCGGUCUCGGCCGCGGUGACCGCGGCCAUGUGCUACGUCCGUUUCGCCGCCGGGCGCCUCCGCCCGGGCCUGCCCCGCCUCGCCGCGUUCCUCCCGGUGCUCGCCGCCCUCCUGUUCCUCCCCUUCGCCUUCCGCGCCAUCCACCCGCGCGCCAUCUCCGGGUUCUUCCUCGCCUGGCUCGCCGAGUUCAAGCUCCUCCGCCUCGCCGCCGGGCAGGGCCCCCUCCACCCGUCCCUCCCGUUGCCCGCCUUCGUCGCCGUCGCCUCCGGCCCCGUCAGGCUCCGCGGCGACGGGCCCGACAAGGCUCAAGGCACGUCGUCGGGCCUGGACCUCGCCUCCUCCGCCGUCAUGGCCGCGCUGCUCGCCGUCAUCGUGUCGCUGUACCGGUACCAGGAGGUGAUGAACCAGUACGUCCUGCUCACACUCUACGCGUUCCACGUGUACUUGGCCCUGGAGCUGGUCCUGGCGUCGGCGGCCGCGGCGGCGCGCGCGCUGCUGGGCAUGGAUCUGGAGCCGCAGUUCGACCGGCCGUACCUGUCGGCGUCGCUGCGGGACUUCUGGGGCCGGCGCUGGAACCUGUCGGUGCCCGCCGUGCUCCGGCCGUGCGUGUACCGCCCCGUGCGCGCGCGCCUGGGCCAGCCCGCGGGGGUGCUCGCGACGUUCCUGGUGUCCGGGCUGGUGCACGAGCUCAUGUUCUACUACAUCACGCUGCGGCCGCCCACCGGGGAGGCGACGGCAUUCUUCGCGCUGCACGGCGCGUGCGCGGUGGCGGAGGCGUGGUGGGCGAGGCACGAGGCGUGGUGGCGCCCGCCGCGGCUGGUGGCCACCCCGCUGACGCUGGCGUUCGUGCUCGUGACGGCCUUCUGGCUCUUCUUCCCGCCGAUCACGAGGCCCGGGGCAGACAAGCUGGUGAUCGCCGAGUGCGAGGCGGCCGUCGCGUUCGUGCGGGACGCCGGGGCCUGGGCGGCCGGCUCCGUCCGGUCGGUCUGGACUGGGCGCUCGUAG